ACCUUCUGAUGCCCUGGCCGUGAUGAUGGACGGCUUCUAAGAAGCAUCAGGACCAGCCCAGUGUCAGUGUACUCUGUCUUUUAGGGCUCUGUGUUCAUGUGCUUCAGCACAAAUACUGAGACUAGUUCAAGAGAAAUAGCGUGUGUUCUGCUUUCAUUUAUCGCCGUGAGGAAUGUUCUGCGAGGGUCAAGCAAAACACUGCUUUGUGUGACCGUUCACUCUGCGAUGUCUCAGACCUUCACACAAGCCUUGGGUGUUGUUCCUGUGGGCUACAGAAGAAGCAGGGACAAACAACACAGAUGUCCUUUAGGCACAAACUCUAGUUCAGGGAGAAAGUGUUCAGUAACCUUGCUGCAGAUGAUGCCCUAGGCCUCCAGUGUCCGUCCACCAGAUGGCACCAAGUCACUGAUGCUUAUAAAAUCCCCUGACUUCACUGUGCCUUGGUUAUGAUAGGCACUAACACUGGCUGUGUGAGCCUCAGGGAGUGGUUGAACUGAGCCAGGUGUGCUUCGGCUUUAUCUUUGUCUCCCUUUUCUCUGGCCUCCCUUUUCUAAGUCCUCUGAGAGCUAAAGCACUCUGGUUUAGAUUGCAGACUUAAUUCCCAUUUCCCUUCCACGAGGUGACUACAGAGAUUGAAAUAAACCCCAAACAUUCAAAGUUCCUGAAAACA
rnacentral:lncRNA from 1 species